CGACUACUGCCCAUCCGACAGGAAGAACUGGAUGUCGGGUAUCGGCCCGGAAAAGCAUCGGAUCAACCAGAUUGUCUGGCCUGGGACACAUGAUUCCGCCACCAACAAGAUCGGGAUCCCAUUCAUCAGCCGCCCCUUCGCGCAAUGUCAAUCCCUCUCAAUCUACCAACAGCCGGUAACAGAAGCCAGGGUCCUCGAUAUCCGGGUCGAGGAAGAUCGCCGAGUCUGCCACGAAAUCCUCCUCAGCUACAGCGUUGAUGUCGUCAUUCAGGACCUCAAAAAGUUCCUGUCGGAGACACGAUCAUAGGUUGUGACCCUCGAGAUCAGGACAGAAUUCGGUCACGACGACCCCCCUGAUUUUGACAAGUACUUGGAAGAACAACUCGGCGAGUAUCUGAUCCACCAAGACGAACAAGUAUUCGAAAAAACAAUAUCGGAACUGCAAUCGAAACGGGUCAUCUGCGUCUGGAAGUCUAGAAAAACCCCGCAACCGAAGGCAGGCAGCCCAUUAUGGAGCACCGGAUGCCUGAAAGAUAACCGGAUCGACAACGAAUUGCCGUUGACGAAAUUUGAGAGCAAUAUGAAGUAUUUACGGGAGCAGCAGCCGGUGGCGAACCAAAAAUUCUUCUACAGGGUGGAGAACACGGUGACGCCUCAGGCGGAUAACCAGAUUCUGUCCGUGAAACCCGUUACGAAUAGGAUACACCCGUAUGCGAGGAUGCUCAUAUGUCAAUGCUUCGAGCGGGGGUUA
rnacentral:misc_RNA from 1 species